rnacentral:rRNA from 1 species
AGAGUUUGAUCCUGGCUCAGGAUGAACGCUGGCGGCGUGCCUAAUACAUGCAAGUCGAACGCACAGCGAAAGGUGCUUGCACCUUUCAAGUGAGUGGCGAACGGGUGAGUAACACGUGGACAACCUGCCUCAAGGCUGGGGAUAACAUUUGGAAACAGAUGCUAAUACCGAAUAAAACUCAGUGUCGCAUGACACAAAGUUAAAAGGCGCUUUGGCGUCACCUAGAGAUGGAUCCGCGGUGCAUUAGUUAGUUGGUGGGGUAAAGGCCUACCAAGACAACGAUGCAUAGCCGAGUUGAGAGACUGAUCGGCCACAUUGGGACUGAGACACGGCCCAAACUCCUACGGGAGGCUGCAGUAGGGAAUCUUCCACAAUGGGCGAAAGCCUGAUGGAGCAACGCCGCGUGUGUGAUGAAGGCUUUCGGGUCGUAAAGCACUGUUGUAUGGGAAGAACAGCUAGAAUAGGGAAUGAUUUUAGUUUGACGGUACCAUACCAGAAAGGGACGGCUAAAUACGUGCCAGCAGCCGCGGUAAUACGUAUGUCCCGAGCGUUAUCCGGAUUUAUUGGGCGUAAAGCGAGCGCAGACGGUUGAUUAAGUCUGAUGUGAAAGCCCGGAG